rnacentral:misc_RNA from 1 species
UUUCCGUAGGUGAACCUGCGGAAGGAUCAUUAUUAUAUAACCGAAGUGCGAGCGAUGUCGCUGACCCGAGCGGACUUGCACGCCCGAGUUCCCUCACACACAUCCAUCUCACCCCUAUGUGCGCCACCGCGUGGGCCCCCCUUUGGCGUGUUCGGAGGGGGGCUUACGUUUUCCCACAAACUUCGUAUGCAGUGUAGAAUGUAUUGUUUGUUUUUGCGAUCACGCAAUCAAUACCACUUUCAACAACGGAUCUCUUGGCUCUC